AACGAACGCUGGCGGCAGGCCUAACACAUGCAAGUCGAGCGAGGUAGCAAUACCUAGCGGCGGACGGGUGAGUAACGCGUGGGAACGUACCCUUUGCUACGGAAUAGCCCCGGGAAACUGGGAGUAAUACCGUAUGUGCCCUUCGGGGGAAAGAUUUAUCGGCAAAGGAUCGGCCCGCGUUGGAUUAGGUAGUUGGUGGGGUAAUGGCCUACCAAGCCGACGAUCCAUAGCUGGUUUGAGAGGAUGAUCAGCCACACUGGGACUGAGACACGGCCCAGACUCCUACGGGAGGCAGCAGUGGGGAAUCUUAGACAAUGGGCGCAAGCCUGAUCUAGCCAUGCCGCGUGAGUGAUGAAGGCCUUAGGGUUGUAAAGCUCUUUCAGAUGGGAAGAUAAUGACGGUACCAUCAGAAGAAGCCCCGGCUAACUCCGUGCCAGCAGCCGCGGUAAAGUACAGUGU
rnacentral:rRNA from 1 species